rnacentral:piRNA from 1 species
CAGUGGAUGAAAGUUUGACGAUGUGGA